rnacentral:rRNA from 1 species
AGUAACCCCAUUGGAUAACCGUGGGAAAUCUAGAGCUAAUACAUGUACAAAAGGCUGUGCGUAGAAAUGCGUAUAGUUUGGCAUUUAUUAGAUAAAACCAAAUGUUGAGUGGACGGUGGCAACAUCAGCUGCUUUGCAAGGUGAUUCUAGAUAACUGAGCAGAUCGCAUGAUUUUAUAUCGGCGACAUUUCGAUUGAAUUUCUGCCCUAUCAACUUGUUGGUAAGGUAGUGGCUUACCAAGGUUGCAACGGGUGACGGGGAAUCAGGGUUCGAUUCCGGAGAGGGAGCCUGAGAAACGGCUACCACAUCCAAGGAAGGCAGCAGGCGCGUAAAUUACCCAAUCCAGACAAUGGGAGGUGGUGACCAGAAGUACUGAGUGGUAGACAAUGUCUACUAAUCUCGGAAUGAGCUUAAAGUAAAAAAUUAGUCGAGUAACUACUGGAGGGCAAGUCUGGUGCCAGCAGCCGCGGUAAUUCCAGCUCCAGUAGCAUGUCGUAAAGUUGUUGCGUUUAAAACGCUCGUAGUUGGAUCAUUCGAUGUGUAUUGGUUGAUUUGCCAGGUUGGGCGUUCAAUCUGUCAUAUACAGGUAGUAGUUGACUCUACUGCAGGUGGAUGUGCAGAGCACAGUUUGGUAGAUUUUUAGCCAGUACAUGUUUGUUACGCGUAAGGAUGGUGAAUGACCUUGAGUGCGUUGAUCACUAUGUCUUGCGGAGUGUGCCUUGAAUAAAUCAGAGUGCUUAAAGCAGGUUUUUGCCUGAAUGAUUGAGCAUGGAACGAACAAUAGUGUUGCGUAUACUCUCGUCAGGUAGAUUAAUUUCAUCUGUAGAGGUAUACAUCACCAACCACCUGUACGGAUGUUGGUUUCCGUAUUGGGGUGAUGAUUAAAACGAGCGGUUGGGGGCAUUGGUAUUUGGCCGCGAGAGGUGAAAUUCUUAGACCGGCCAAGGACUAACAAAAGCGAAGGCAUUUGCCAAGACCGUCUCGAUUGAUCAAGAACGAUAGGGAAAGGUUCGACGGAGAUUAGAGACCUCCUUAGUUUUCCCUGUAAACUAUGCCGACCCGGGAUCAGUUGCGAGCUAAUAAUUAUGCUCGAGGUUGGUCCCCCUGGGAAACCUUAAGUUUUUGGGUUACGGGGGGAGUAUGGUCGCAAGGCUGAAACUUAAAGGAAUUGACGGAAGGGCACCACCAGGGGUGGAGCCUGCGGCUUAAUUUGACUCAACACGGGAAAACUCACUGGUUCAGGACGUCGAAAUGAUUGACAGACUGAUAGAUCUUUCAUGAUACGAUGUGUAGUGGUGCAUGGCCGUUCUUAGUUCGUGAAGUGAUUUGUCAGGUCGAUUCCGGUAACGAACGAGACCCAAAUCUCCAGUUACAAUGCUCUAUAGUGGACGGCGGAAACGUCGUUCACUCCUGGGAGUGGGUUUGAAGAGCAGUUUCGGCUGAUUUUCUUUCUCACUUCUAAAUAGAGCAAUGCUGGGCGCGGCAACGCGUGUAGCUGCAUGGAGAGACGGCUGNCUAUAAUUAUAAAAUCAGAGGAAGUUGGGCAAUAACAGGUCUGUGAUGCCCUUAGACGUACCAGGCUGCACGCGCGCUACAAUGAUAAUGACAACGAGCUAUCUGGGCCGAAAGGCUUAGGAAAUCUUUUAAUCGUUAUCGUGAUGGGGAUUGUCCAUUGUAAUUUGGACAUGAAAUAGGAAUCCCUUGUACGUGCACUUCAUUUAAAGUGCGUGGAAUGAGUCCCUGCCCUUUGUACACACCGCCCGUCGCUACUACCGAGUGAAUCGUGUCAUGAUGCGUUGGGACAGGACG